rnacentral:misc_RNA from 1 species
CUUGGUCAUUUGAUCAGAGCCAACCAACUCGGCUGGAUUUGGCGGGAUCGGGCCAGAGGCCAAGACGCCAACCUUAGUGCGAUCGUCGAACUGGAUCGCAUCCAACACUUCCUUCUCAUUCAACUCGCUAGCCAAAACCGAACUCAACCCGGCAUUAUUCUUGAAACCGAACACUGAGUGAACCCUGGGCCUCCGCAUAUCC